rnacentral:lncRNA from 1 species
ACAUGCAUCUGCAGCUGUUAGCAUGCCUGAUGUUGACUGGGGAGGUAUAUGUGCACUCAUGCAGAAGAAGUAGAAGUUUUCACAUCCAAUUUGGCAUUUAGAGAAGCUGAUCCGAAGUCCGGUGUUGGCAGUGUGUGAUCGACAACCCUUGUUUUGCCUCGCUGCGCUCUAUUACCUUGUAGACAUUGUGGAACUUGGACAUGUUCUACUACACCAAAUCAGAACCAGUUGGGACAGUGCGGUUUUCGUAGGGAGCCUUCAGU